GGAUUAACGAAGGGGUCGAUUGCAUUGUUAAAUUGUAAGAAAGGCUAUUAUCCACUCGAUGUCAACCGGAAAUGUUUAUCCUCUGGAAAUUGGUCAAGUGUCAACAUAUCCUGUAUCCCUUUUCCAGUUUGUGGAGCACCACCGUCGGUUGCAAAUGCAGUAUGGUUACCAGACGUAGACAACAAUGGAAAAAGAGCAACUCUCAGAUGUAAACAUGGGUUUUAUGGCAAAGAUAUUGAAAUAUCAUGUACAGAUAACGGAACAUGGGCAGAAUUUGACGAUCACGAGCCUUGUUAUCCAGAGUGUAAAACCCCAAAUGAUGUACAGAAUGGUAGUUGGAAUGUUAGUGGUUUGCAAAAUGGCUCUACAGCAAUUCUGACGUGUAAUGAGAACUAUUUGUCUAGGUCAGCGGUUGAAAUAAAAUGCCGUUCCAAUGGACAAUGGGAUCAAACUAAUGCGACGUGUAUUUUUGUAACUACAACUCAGACAGUUGGUCAAACUGUAGAAACAAGUUCCGAUGUGCAAUCAUCAGCAAUCAUGC